rnacentral:rRNA from 1 species
GAUGAACGCUGGCGGCGUGCUUAACACAUGCAAGUCGAACGAUGAUCCCCAGCUUGCUGGGGGGAUUAGUGGCGAACGGGUGAGUAACACGUGAGUAACCUGCCCUUGACUCUGGGAUAAGCCUGGGAAACUGGGUCUAAUACUGGAUACGACCUUCUGGCGCAUGCCAUGUGGGUGGAAAGCUUUUGUGGUUUUGGAUGGACUCGCGGCCUAUCAGCUUGUUGGUGGGGUAAUGGCCUACCAAGGCGACGACGGGUAGCCGGCCUGAGAGGGUGGACGGCCACACUGGGACUGAGACACGGCCCAGACUCCUACGGGAGGCAGCAGUGGGGAAUAUUGCACAAUGGGCGAAAGCCUGAUGCAGCGACGCCGCGUGAGGGAUGACGGCCUUCGGGUUGUAAACCUCUUUCGACAGGGACGAAGCGCAAGUGACGGUACCUGUAGAAGAAGCACCGGCUAACUACGUGCCAGCAGCCGCGGUAAUACGUAGGGUGCGAGCGUUGUCCGGAAUUAUUGGGCGUAAAGAGCUCGUAGGCGGUUUGUCGCGUCGACUGUGAAAACCUGGGGCUUAACUCUGGGCCUGCAGUCGAUACGGGCAGACUUGAGUUCGGUAGGGGAGACUGGAAUUCCUGGUGUAGCGGUGAAAUGCGCAGAUAUCAGGAGGAACACCGGUGGCGAAGGCGGGUCUCUGGGCCGAUACUGACGCUGAGGAGCGAAAGCGUGGGGAGCGAACAGGAUUAGAUACCCUGGUAGUCCACGCUGUAAACGUUGGGCGCUAGGUGUGGGGAGCAUUCAUGUUUUCCGUGCCGUAGCUAACGCAUUAA